rnacentral:tRNA from 1 species
GCAGUCGUGGCCGAGUGGUUAAGGCGACAGACUAGAAAUCUGUUGGGGUCUCCCCGCACAGGUUCAAAUCCUGCGGUACUGUU